rfam:Sphingopyxis sp. Root1497 contig_1, whole genome shotgun sequence.
CCGGGGCGAUGCAACCUCCCGGACAAGCGCAUCCGCGCUCAAGCGUUGC